rnacentral:rRNA from 1 species
UACGGGGGGGGCAAGCGUUGUUCGGAAUUACUGGGCGUAAAGGGCUCGUAGGCGGCCAACUAAGUCAGACGUGAAAUCCCUCGGCUUAACCGGGGAACUGCGUCUGAUACUGGAUGGCUUGAGAUUGGGAGAGGGACGCGGAAUUCCAGGUGUAGCGGUGAAAUGCGUAGAUAUCUGGAGGAACACCGGUGGCGAAGGCGGCGUCCUGGACCAACACUGACACUGAGGAGCGAAAGCGUGGGGAGCGAACAGG